rnacentral:rRNA from 1 species
UAUUAAGUUUUAUUUUGAAUUUAAGAAAAUUUGCACUCCGAAAGGGUUCAAAAGAAAUUAAAGAAUUAGUAAAUCGUACUUUUUGCAUAACGGCUAUUCCAAAAGUAAGUAAAUUUUUACUUUCCCGAAAUAAGAAGAUCUAAGCUAGAGCUUUUAUUAGAAAUUAAGAAGUUAUGUUUCAUUAUGACACUAAGAUUCAAGCUUAGGGGCGAAAAACCUACAAUUCUUAUGAUAUCUGGAUGUUUACGAAAAGUAUUUAGUACUAAAGACAAACAGUAAGUGCUUAGAUUUACUGUGAAGAGUAUAGUAAAUUCAUAAAAUUUCUUUAGGGUUAACACUCGAAUUUAACUAAUAAAAUAAAAAGAUUUAUUUUGUCGAAGAUCUCCGUUAUUAGUAAACUUGUAUGUGAACUAAAACUUCUAUAUUUAUGAUUAGAUGAGUAAUGCUGAAAAAAUACAGAAAAGGAAUUCGGCAAAUCUUUAUCUCAACUGUUUAUCAAAAACAUAGCCUAGGGAAAAUUAUCCUAGGUGAAACCUGCCCGGUGACUAGAUUUUAACGGCCGCGGUACUUUGACCGUGCUAAGGUAGCGUAAUCAGUUGACUUUUAAAUGAAGUCUUGUAUGAAUGGAUUUAUGGGAUUAAGCUGUCUCUUCUGUAUUCUAUUGAAAUUACUAAUUAGGUGAAAAGGCCUAUAAAUGAAAAAAGACGAGAAGACCCUUAGAGUUUUAAUAAAUAGGUUUUUGUUGGGGCGACAAGAAGACAUAUAUAACUCUUCUAUUAGAAAAAUACUUGCCGGUUCUUUUAAGUAUGGAUAAACUACCUUAGGGAUAACAGCAUAAUCCAAUUUGGGUUUGUGACCUCGAUGUUGGACUAGGAAAAUUAUGCCCUAGCAGGGUGUAUAUUUAGGUUCUGUUCGAACUUUUAUUCCUACAUGAUCUGAGUUCAGACCGGCGUAAGCCAGGUCAGAUUCUAUCUUUUAAUAUUUGCGGUUUUAGUACGAAAGGACCAAACUAAGCAGUUAUUUAUAAC